UGGGGAAUUUUGGACAAUGGGCGAAAGCCUGAUCCAGCAAUGCCGCGUGUGUGAAGAAGGCCUUCGGGUUGUAAAGCACUUUUGUCCGGAAAGAAAUCCUUGGCUCUAAUACAGUCGGGGGAUGACGGUACCGGAAGAAUAAGCACCGGCUAACUACGUGCCAGCAGCCGCGGUAAUACGUAGGGUGCAAGCGUUAAUCGGAAUUACUGGGCGUAAGCGUGCGCAGGCGGUUUGCUAAGACCGAUGUGAAAUCCCGGGCUCAACCUGGGAACUGCAUUGGAUGACUGGCAGGCUAGAGUAUGGCAGAGGGGGGUAGAAUUCCACGUGUAGCAGUGAAAUGCGUAGAGAUGUGGAGGAAUACCGAUGGCGAA
rnacentral:rRNA from 1 species